CCUACGGGAGGCAGCAGUGAGGAAUAUUGGUCAAUGGGCGAGCGCCUGAACCAGCCAAGUCGCGUGAAGGAUGACGGCCCUACGGGUUGUAAACUUCUUUUGUCAGGGAGCAAUUGGGUCCACGCGUGCGCUUAGCGAGAGUACCUGAAGAAAAAGAAUCGGCUAACUCCUUGCCAGAAGCGGCGGUAAUACGGGGGAUGCGGGCGUUAGCGGGAUUUAUGGGUUUAAAGGGUUGCGUAGGCGGAAUAUCAAGUCAGCGGUAACAUUUCGGGGCUCACCCCAGUCGUGCCGUUGAAACUGAGGUUCUUGAGUGGGCGAGAAGUAGGCGGAAUGCGUGGUGUAGCGGUGAAAUGCAUAGAUAUCACGCAGAACUCCGAUUGCGAAGGCAGCAUACCGGCGCCCAACUGACGCUGAAGCACGAAAGCGUGGGUAUCGAACAGGAUUAGAUACCCCAGUAGUC
rnacentral:rRNA from 1 species